rnacentral:rRNA from 1 species
UACAGAGGGUGCGAGCGUUGUCCGGAAUCACUGGGCGUAAAGGGAGCGUAGGCGGCUUGGUAAGCGUGCGGUGAAAGCCCGGGGCUCAACCCCGGGUCGGCCGUGCGAACUGCUGGGCUGGAGCACUGUAGAGGCAGGUGGAAUUCCGGGUGUAGCGGUGGAAUGCGUAGAGAUCCGGAAGAACACCGGUGGCGAAGGCGGCCCGCUGGGCUGUUGCUGACGCUGAGGCGCGACAGCGUGGGGAGCAAACAGG